rnacentral:rRNA from 1 species
UGGSGGGAUAACAAGCUGAGCGGACAGAGGAGCUCYCCAUGGCGGCGGACGGGAACACGUGGGACCUGCCUGAGACUGGGAUAACUCCGGGAAACCGGGGCUAAUACCGGAUGCUUGAUUGAACCGCAUGGUUCAAUUAUAAAAGGUGGCUUUUACUACCCUUACAUGGACCCCGGCGCAUUAGCUAGUUGGGAGGUAACGGCUCACCAAGGCAACAUGCGUAGCCACCUGARAGGGUGAUCGGCCACACUGGGACUGAACACGGCCCAACUCCUACGGGAGGCAGCAGUAGGGAAUCUUCCGCAAUGGACAAAGUCUGACGGAGCAACGCCGCGUGAGUGAUGAAGGUUUUCGGAUCGUAAAACUCUGUUGUUAGGGAAAACAAGUACCGUUCGAAUAGGGCGGUACCUUGACGGUACCUAACCARAAAGCCACGGCUAACUACGUGCCAGCCGCCGGGAAUACA